UUUUUUUUUUUUUUUUUUUUUUUUUUAUGUCGCCACGCUGAGGAUAGCGUUCAUGGCUGAUAUGGACUACCGUUAAUAAAAAAAAAAAACAGCAUAAAUCCUCCUCUAGAGCACGGGCAAAAUAAGGUCUGCAAGAUAAAAACGCCGACGCAAAGAGGAAGAGUCCCGAGCGGAAGGAGAAGGAGAGCGAUGAAGCCCACACCGAUGUCGUAUUUGUACGAGCAGGUGAACGCGAUGGAGGAGGGAGGGGGCCUGGCGGUGGGGAUGGAGGUGGACGACGGCGACCCCGUCGACGUCCUCGGCGAGCUCGAGCGUCCCCCCCUCGACGCCGACUUCUUCAACUCCUUUGAGGACGACUUCGACGACUCCGACGUCUGACCGCAGUGCCGACAAAUGCUUGAUGGGGAAAGCUCUUUGCAAGGAGGACUCUUAAUUAUAUAUAUUGCUGGAAACUUAUUUAUGUCUGGGUUUCUUGUCAUUAUUUUCUGCCAAAUGUUGGAAUCACUGAAACCCUGGAACCACCUUUUGCAUGGUUGUUGGACUUCAAAGGGUUUGAACCUGUGAAAGCUUAAUAGUUUGGUUUCAGCUCUGGCUUUGAGUUUAAAGCUUGCUUCUGCUUGUACUUGUGCUGAUGAAUUUGAAGUGAAUAUAAACCUUGGUUCAACCAUCUAAUUUGGGUUACAUCUUCAAGCAUAGGCAGCAGCAGACAUGCUACUGAAAUACUUAUUUCUGAAGUCAUUACUUUCUAUGUUCCUGCUAAUAAUGUACAAGGGGCUGGAAGGACAUUCAACUUUGUUUGAUUAAUUUAUGGAGGGUGUCUGCCUGAAUUCUCUAGUUGAUCAUGAAAUGACAUUAUUAUUGCACAAAAAUCUCUAGAAAAUUUUAGGAGGCAGAGAAGUGUGUGUGUAGAUACAUACAUACAUACAUAAAGAAGUGUUGGGUUGGGUACAUACAUACAUACACAAAGAGGUGUUGGGUUGGGUUAGAAAUAUAUGUUAGGAUUAUCAAUACCAGGUAAGCUGUGCAAGGCAGAAAUGAAUCAAACAAAUUUAAAUCUUCGUAGGUUAUUGACAAAGUUAGUCCAGCAUUCAUAAAUCUUUUAAUAAGUAGAAAGAGAAAGUACCCCUGCUUUUGAAUAUUGGACUUAUAAUGAAGAUUGUGUAAAUAUUGUAGAACUAGCUCAACACACACACAAACACACAUGCAAAUGUAAGGUUUCUUGUGCUAUGGAAGCAGUAUUAUGAUUUUUCACUUCUUUAAGUCAUAGCCUUAUGUAAAACUCCUUGGGCCACGAACCUGAAAUCCCUCAUUGAAAAGAUGCAAAGCUAUGAUGGAGAUAGCUUGACAUCAAGAGUAGAUGGCAAACAAGUAUUGAUAAAGAAGAUAAUCUGUAUUCAGGGAAUGUGCACUGCCUUCCAGAUGUUAGAAAAUCUAUACAGCCUUAUUACUCCUAGUAAAUGAGUCCCAUUAUUCAUUCAUCUUUUACUGCUAUACACUUAUAUCCGUUGCUAUGUAUUAAAUAUGACAAGUGAAGGCAUUGUUCUCUAUCAAGAGUUGCUUCCAUGCUGUGAAAAUACUAUUCAGAUUUUACAAUUGGAUUCUGGAGGCGAUUGGAUUAUUAGUGUGAUAUUCAAACUGUGCCAGGCGUUGAAAUUUGCAACAUAGUAUGGCAUGUAGGAAGCGAUACAUGUAGGAAGCGAUACAUGUUACAUGACCGGGUAGCUGGAAUUGGUUUAGAGCUUGUGACUUAUUUCAUGCUAUACUUGUCUAAGAGCAAUUCAGUAGGCAGGGAUAGCAUCAGAAUUGGUUAUGUUGUUUUGUGCAUUUUUUUCAUGGAUGUUUUUACUUUAUGUGCAUAUCUUCGUAGUAAUCUGGCUCGAAAUUUGAGCAGUCAGCAAGUUCAUCUAUAAAUUGUCGUAAAGCAUGUAUUUGGAUUGGGAUUGCUGGUGCGAGGAGCUGCCAUGAACUUAAAGAGUUACCCAGAAAACUUUAAAAAUCCAGGCUGCGAUUCUUGCUGCUACUCUGAAAGUGGUGUCAUCACACUACUCCCAAAUCAUACCACUUUAUCACCUUAGAGGAUGAAGCAGUCACAUUAUCAUGCUUGCAAUUAAGGUAUAGCUCUGUAUCAUGUCAUGCUCCACACACACAAAUGAAACUCUGAUUUGAUGUUGAUUCCUUGA